GCGGUCUUCAAACAGCAAAAGGUAACUGCUGUAAAUUGUUGAGAAAUUCCCUCGAGUUUUUAUGGGCUCCAUCAUCAAACCUGGUCCUGCGACAUAGAUGAUCACACAGCAGGUAAUUGCUAUAAAUCGUUGAAAAGUUCCCUCGACUAUCUUUCGUCUCCAUCAUCAGACUUUAAUGGCACUUGUAACUCAUAUAGGUGCAAAGUUCUCAUGAAUAGAAACGAAUUAA
rnacentral:misc_RNA from 1 species